UUGGUCGUCGCGAACACCCACAAUGUGACCGUCGACCUCCGUAUAGGUAUACCCCUAGGACCACACCAUCGAACCAUCAAUUUUAGGGGUUUAUUGCACUUUGUUGUACAUUACAAAGUUUGUAAUUUUUGUAUAAAUUUAAUUAUUCUAACUUUAGGUAUGCUUACUACGGAACUUUUCUUCCCUUUUUGCAUUAUAUUAAAGCUAAAUUUAAUGCUAAAUGGCUCCAUUUUGGAUAUAAUUUUAAUUAUUCCAAAUGAAUUAUACUUUUUAUAACUUAAUUUGGAUACAAUUUAAGCAUAUGCAUAAGCAUAAGCAAAUGAAUAAUUUUAAUUAUUCCAAAUAGGUGUUACCACAACAUUGCAACAUUACAACAUUACACAUAACAACUUUACAGCAUAAGCUCAAUUUCGACCCGAUCCUGACGACUGUCCAACGAGAUAGUUUCAAUAUGCAAUUUUUUCAUUCUUAAGCUCAUACUAUUUCAGUUAUCAUUUUGUACAUGAACAACGUUUAACCACUAAUCCUAAUAACUAACACAAUAACAAUAAUAAUAGUUGUAAUACCCAAUUUUAGCCCGGGAUCACAUAUGGAAACAUAAUCUUCGAGGAUAUGUAAUCUUAGAUAUGAUAUGUAAUUUUAGAAGAUAUGAUUUUGUAAUAUUAGAGAUUUAAUUUGUAGAUACCCUUUAAUCUUAGCCGUUGAUGUAAUUGAUUUGUACCGUUGGAUUUGGGGAGGCUCAACUAUAAAUAGAGGCCUCUUCCUUCAUUGUAAAAAAAAAGGAGGAAAUCAAUAAAAAAAUAUGAUUAUAUUCACAGCAAAAGAGAGCAUACAAGCAGAGAAUAAAAAUCACAAAUAGAAAUUCAAAAAAAAAAAGAAAGGAAAAUAGAUUAAAAGGUAGUAAUUUAUUUCCUUCGUUUCCUCUUUUCUUCGAUUUGAUUUAUUGUAAUACAAAAAGUAAAGGGAAAGUAGGGGAAAUACCUGGUGACGCCUUCAAUCUAUGCAAAAAGAGCCAAUAAGCCCUUUGGGGUGCGACUCCGACCACCUUCCACGGUGGGAUCGCGGCAGAGGCGCGGCGACGUAGAAGCUAUGGUUGAAACCCUAGCAGAG
rnacentral:lncRNA from 1 species